UUACAUUCAUAAUAUUUUUUUUAUCAUCUUCCUGACCAGAAUAUUUUUUCCCCAUCAAAUUGGGAUUAGGAUAUCCCUCCUGUAACUUUAGUUUUAUAAGUGAAAGGAUCUCUAUAAAAUUUUGUAAGAAGGUUCAAUACUACAAAAGGAAGGUUGGGAUUGAUUUUGGGGAUGCUGGUUCAAACCGAGUAGGAAUAAGGGGCCCAAAAGAGCCCCAAAACAAGCAUUUUUCUAGUUUCAGGAUAAUAACUUGUGUAUAACUAUUUGGUUUGCUUUGAAAUUGUAUCACAAUGUCUAUACCACAAGUAGAAGGUAGGUGAUAUAGUUUGAGGGAUAUGGUUCGAACAGUUUAGGAAUUAGGGGCCAAAAAGAAGCAUUUGUGUAGUUUUUUGACAAUAACUUGUGUUUCAGUGUAUGGAGUUUGGGGGUAAUUGCACCAAUCAUGCAGGAAAAAGGGGC
rnacentral:lncRNA from 1 species